rnacentral:lncRNA from 1 species
UGACCCUUCCUCAUGACCCAGUCGAAAAGGGAAGCUAAUUCAGACACAAACUCAGCUUCGGAUCUAGGAAAUUUUCUAGGCUUUUUUUCGGAUUGAGAGCGAAAAGAAUCAGAACAAAUUUGAAAAAUUUGGGAAUGGUGUUUAGGGAUUGGGAGGGUGAGGAUUGAGAUGGUGGUUGUAUGUGAUGGGUGGUGGUGGUGGAGAAAGGAGAUGGUGAUGUAGGUCUCGGGUGAAGAAAGAAGAUGGAGAUAAAGGUCUAGGGUGGGAAAAGAGGGGGAUAAGGGGUGGGUCCCCCAUGAAAAAAUAAAUAAAUAAUUUUAUUUGUUUAGUUUUUAAUAUUUAAUUAAUUUUUAAUACAAAGUGGAUCCCGUUUCAAGCCACGUCACUAUUUAACGGAAAAAUUGACAGACAAACUGACGGAAUGUAUGAAAUUGUAACAAAUCGUUAGAUGAGGUAUGACAUUGAAAUUUUUUAAAGAUGGGGUAUGAAACUAUGACUGACCCAAUAGUUAAGGUAUUUUUAUGUAAUUUACCAUAUGUUAUAUUAUGAAAACUAAUGAAAAGAGCUUAAAAACUUUGAGUUUUAAUGAUAAGGACAAAAUAAAAGGUAAAGUGAAUAGUACCAUGAUUGAUUUUUUAGUAUAAAAAUAUGAUUUUUCUUUAAAACAAAUAGUACCGAAAAUUUUUCGUUAAAAUUCUUUAUUAUAUUUAGGUUGAUUGUGGGCAAUAACGCAACUGACUUUAAAGUCGUUGAAAGAUUCUUUAAUUUCUUAAGUCUUUGGUUUGACGGUAGCCGUAGAUAAAAAAUAAAGAAAAACAGUACAAUUUCUUGGAUUUAAGGGAAGCACCAAAUUUUAGAAAGGACGACUCUUCUUUUCUUUUAAGGCUCUCUCUCUCUCUCUCUGUGUUUGUUUCUGCAUAAAUCAGCAAGUUGCCGAUUUAAAUUUCCACAUUUUUGUUCUAGGGGAUAGCGUGAUUCUAGUUUUUUUUCGAUGAGUGUAGGUAAGUACCCUACCACUAGAGUUGUCCCACAAUUGUUUAUUUUUGUUUUUGAUUUAGGCUCUCUUUCUGUUCGUUUCUCCAUAAUUCAACAAGUUGUCGAUUUCAAUUUCCACAUUUGUUUGUUUUAGGAGAAGAGAAUAGCGAGAUUUGAACUUUAUUUCGAUGAGUGUAGGUAAAUACCUUACACUAGAGUUGUCACACAAUUGUUUAUUUUUGUUUUUGAUAUUUUGGAAAGAUGGAAAGUUAUGAUGUGAAAUAACGAUAAAUUGCUUACAUAUCAAUGUACAAAGACUGAAAGAUGGAUAAAAUUUAUUGAAAAAAAUUGAAAUUCAACCAUAAAAUUAAGUGUCAAAAUAUAAAUUGUUGGAUAUUUGAAAGAAAAAAAAUUCCAUAUUUUUGUUUUAGGAAAAGAAAAUAGCAAGUUCAAACUUUUUUCACCAAAGUGUAGGUAAGUAACCUACCUCUAGAUUUGUCCCACAAUUGUUUACUUCUGUUUUCGAUUUUUGGGAAUUUUUUUUAUGGAAAGUUGUGGUGUGAAAUAAUGGUAAAAAAAAAUUACUUAUACAUCAAGGUACAAGGAUUGAAAGAUUGGUAAAAUUUAUUUUAAAAAAAAUUGAAAUUUCACCAUAAAAUUAAUUGGACAAUAUGGGAAAGAUCAUCUUAUUUUUAAACCCAUGCAAGGUUUCUCUUCCCAUCGAAAUUUUUUUCAUUGUGCCAGGACCACAUCAAGUGUCAAAAUACAAAUGGUUAGAUACUUAAAAAAAAAAUUCCUACCAUUUGUAUUAUAACUCUUGGUGUACACUGAAAAAUUUCUCCUUCCAAUCAAUAUGCAAAUCAUUCUCAACAUUUACAAUUUUCGUUUACAUCUUCCAUGCUCUUAGUUGUAAUAGUUGUAUUAUUACUUGCAUAACUUCAGAAACGAGGAACUGCGAAGUCUCGGUUGCCAUCAACGGCAGUGCAUUGAGGCCUAGAAACAAACAAUUGAUAGCGCCCUAGGAUUCAGUCGGACAGAUGGUUUUCAGAGAGGUCUGGAUCGUCUCUUCAAGUUUGUGAGGCUGGAAUAUGGUCAGGAAUGCUUCCAAAGUGAGCGACCGUCCAUCAACUUACUACUAAUCAAACAAAAUACUGAUCACAUGUGCAAACCAAUUGUUGAGCCAACUCACGACUUCAGUGUCUUACAUUCAUUGUCCCAAUUCAGGUAAAGACAAUCUAGUGGCCCAUCCGAGGUCUUCAAGUUUUUGGUGUGGGGCAUGCUUCAACUGAGGUUUUAGAAACCGCUCAUCAGCUCACUAUUAAUCGAACAUAGAUUUUAACCACAAGUGCAAACCAAUGUAUAGUAACUCGGAACUUUAGCGUUUUAAUAAAUUUAUUGUCCCAAUUUAGGUAGAGACAGUUGGCCCACUACUAAUCAACCGAGGUUUUUUAAGUUUGUGAUAUGAGACAUGGAUUGGUUGAAAUUAAUAAUAUAAAAUCUAAAUAGUUGUGAAAACCAAAUAUAACGAUUAAAACACUCAUAGUAUUGCAUGAUGUGUAGCAUAAAAUUCACACCCAUGAGACAUGCUUCAACUAAAGUUUUCAAAUCUUGCAUAAGAGAUAGUGAGCCCUAUUUUUAAAUUCACAUUCACACCUCCUAACGUCCCUUCGUUUCGUUGUUUUAAAAAGAAAAAGUGAAGAGUAGGUUUAGAUUCUCGUCCCCAAUAUUUUAUAUUUGAAGUCAUUGCUUUCAUUUCAUUUACGGAAUAUGUAGACUUUUAAAAAUCAGUCAUACUGUCAUAGUGAAUGGAAAUAGUUCGCAUUAGAAGGUUUGCUUACUUUUUUUAUUUUUAUUUUUUUAUAGAAAAAUUAAUAAAAAUAGCUUGAAAACUUUGAAUGUUAACAAAAAAAUCAGGUAAUAAUUUUAUUUAAUGGGUAGGAUAAAACUUAACACUAAAUCAGUCCAAUUAAAAUGACCCAAACACUGAAUUUUCGAUUUUGCCCCUGCCUUUUCAAUUUAAUAUCUCUCUUCCUUCUCUAUGCAAUUUUGUCUCCCCCAUUUAUUCUUGAAACCUUAGUCUUACAUCCUUUGGCAAUGAGUCCCACAACACUUCUAAUCACUUAGACAGGUUUUUAGAUGCAAUCAAGUUAAGGAAACUCUAGUACAACUUAAUUAAAGAGACUAUUUUGAUAAUCAUUUCGUUUUCAGUUUUUUAUUUUUUUAUUUUUAUAUAUAUCAAAAAUUGAAAGUGAGAAUAUAUUUAGUAACUAUUUUUAGUUUUCAAAAAAUGGAAAUUGAAAGCUACUUUUUCUGAGUUUGCAAGAUAUGAAGUGAUUUUCACACACCUUUGUACACUAACAAACACCCCUUUUUAUUUCUGGCAAUUAGAUUGAACAAAUCAAACAUAAUCCACGACUAGGAUUAAACAUGAGUCUGUAAGAAACUAAAAAGGGUGUGUGUUGUCACUUAGCAUUACGGUCAAUGACAUUCUUUUCUCUUGUAAAUGAUAGGUUUUAGAUUCAAUUUUUUGCCAAAAGCGAGUUUGAACUAAAUUAUCAUGGUUGGUUUUUUUCCUCUGCAUAUGGGAUUAAUGGUUUACUAAUAAAGUCUUGAUUAAAGAUCUUCUACACAUAUUACUAAUAAGCGGUGUCCACCCGAUUACAUGUUAGAAUGUAACAUUGAUAUAUUCCGUAAAACCAUGUCAGUGAGUAAAAACAAAUUUGACAUUAUUUAUGCUCAAAACCGAAGGGGUCUUGGAACAACAUAGAUCCGACCGUGAAUCUGCAAGAAAGUAAAGAACACAAGAUGUAUCGUGGUUCACCCUAAUGUUUAGGCUACGUCCACACUGAUGUUGAUUGUAUUUCUCUCUAACUGUAUGUAUGGAUUACAAGUGUGAGGGGGAGUCCCCCAGAGAAAGAGAGAAUUUGAGAGUGUUUCUCUAUUUGUGAGAGGAUUGUGAGGGUGAGAGCUUGAGGAUUGUGAGGGUGAGGAGGCCCUUUUAUAUACUAAAGGCUCAUCCCCUUUUUACAUAUUUGCCCCUUCAUUUAUUACAUAAUUACAUUUGAGUCUCUCGAGUAUUUAUACGAGAUCUAAAUACAGAGGCCCUAUGUAUGGUACAAACAGUAGUCCCCCAAGUCUUCAGUCAAGAGAGUCUUUUGGCUGGAGACUUGAAAUUCAGUCCAUGUGUGGGCCGAAGUAACUAGAUGUCGUCUAGAACUGAUACUCGAUAUAAG